GCCGCUCCUCGACCCUAUUCCCGUUCGUCACCCAGCUCAACAGUCCACCUCGGUGCUCCAGCACCGGCCCCUCGAAGAGCUGGCUACAGGCCAUCCGUUGCUCCGCCCCUGGAUGCUGCCAUCUGGUGGCUGGCCGUCUCACUCCAAUACACCUCCCUCUCUUUGUGUACUGUUCUCUCUCAAGACUGGAAGUUAUCCCUGAUGUACCCAACGCAAGUUCAACAUCAUCAUCUAAAAAGGUUCGCUGAUAUCAUCACGAGGAAUUCAAAUAUUCAACAGGUUCAUAUAAGAAACCACAUGAAAAUACAAAGAAAAGAAAGAUUCAAAAAUAUGUGGCUGCUGCAUUGGAGUUACUCUGACCCAUGCAAAACUAAAUUGCAGGAAGCAAAAAAGAAAAUCUAUUUACUCAGGGAUGCAAGCAAAUUUCUGGAGCACA
rnacentral:lncRNA from 1 species